UACGUAGGGUGCGAGCGUUGUCCGGAAUUAUUGGGCGUAAAGAGCUUGUAGGUGGUUUGUCGCGUCUGCUGUGAAAAUCCGAGGCUCAACCUCGGACUUGCAGUGGGUACGGGCAGACUAGAGUGUGGUAGGGGAGACUGGAGUUCCUGGUGUAGCGGUGGAAUGCGCAGAUAUCAGGAGGAACACCGAUGGCGAAGGCAGGUCUCUGGGCCAUUACUGACACUGAGAAGCGAAAGCAUGGGGAGCGAACAGG
rnacentral:rRNA from 1 species